rnacentral:rRNA from 1 species
GAUGAACGCUGGCGGCGUGCCUAAUACAUGCAAGUCGAGCGAACAGACGAGGAGCUUGCUCCUCUGACGUUAGCGGCGGACGGGUGAGUAACACGUGGAUAACCUACCUAUAAGACUGGGAUAACUUCGGGAAACCGGAGCUAAUACCGGAUAAUAUAUUGAACCGCAUGGUUCAAUAGUGAAAGACGGUUUUGCUGUCACUUAUAGAUGGAUCCGCGCCGCAUUAGCUAGUUGGUAAGGUAACGGCUUACCAAGGCAACGAUGCGUAGCCGACCUGAGAGGGUGGUCGGGCACAACGGAACUUAGGCACGGUCCCAACUCCUACGGGGAGCAACAAGAGGGAAUCUUCCGCAAUGGGGGAAAGCCUGACGGAGCAAAGGCGCGUGGGUGAUGAAGGGCUUCGGAACGUAAAACCCUGUUAUUAGGGAAGAACAAAUGUGUAAGUAACUAUGCACGUCUUGACGGUACCUAAUCAGAAAGCCACGGCUAACUACGUG